rnacentral:rRNA from 1 species
GAUGAACGCUGGCGGCGUGCCUAACACAUGCAAGUCGAACGGACUUACAUUGAAGCCUAGCGAUAUGUAAGUUAGUGGCGGACGGGUGAGUAACGCGUGGGUAACCUGCCUUGUACUGGGGGACAACAGUUGGAAACGACUGCUAAUACCGCAUAAGCGCACAGCUUCGCAUGAUCUUUAUGCCAAAGAUUUAUCGCUUCAAGAUGGCCUCGCGUCUGAUUAGCUGGUUGGCGGGGUAACGGCCCACCAAGGCGACGAUCAGUAGCCGGACUGAGAGGUUGAACGGCCACAUUGGGACUGAGAUACGGCCCAGACUCCUACGGGAGGCAGCAGUGGGGAAUAUUGGGCAAUGGGCGCAAGCCUGACCUAGCAACGCCGCGUGAAGGAAGAAGGCUUUCGGGUGUAAACUUCUUUUAAGAGGGAAGAGCAGAAGACGGUACCGUCUAGAAUAAGCCACGGCUAACUACGUG